UGCCAGCCGCCGCGGUAAUACAGAGGGCCCGAGCGUUAAUCGGAAUCACUGGGCUUAAAGCGUACGUAGGCGGACUUGUAGGCAUCUUGUGAAAUCCCUCGGCUCAACCGGGGAAUUGCAGGGUGAACCACAAGUCUUGAGGCGAGUAGAGGCGGUCGGAACGAUAGGUGGAGCGGUGAAAUGCGUAGAUAUCUAUCGGAACGCCAAAGGUGAAGACAGGCCGCUGGGCUCGUCCUGACGCUGAGGUACGAAAGCAUGGGUAGCGAACGGGAUUAGAUA
rnacentral:rRNA from 1 species